UUAGAAUAGCUUCGAAGGGGAGAGAGAGAUAGAGAGUACGUAGAAAAAAAAUAGAAGGAAAGAAAGAGAAAGGGAUUUCUUGCAUGCACGCUCAAGGAGUCUCGGUGAGUCAACAAUUAACUCCGUUAGCAACGUCCGUUAGGUGGGCGUACUGAACAGUAGCGAACAGUACACUUCGGGGCUGAGUUUCAUCUGUUUCGGGCUAAUUUGUGAGUGGGUUAAGUUGGGGAUCUUGUAGUACAACGAAAGGUUUUUCUAGACUAUAAGUUUGCUUGAAGCGAAGUUUGAAGGAGGAAGUUAUGGCGCAAACGAUUUUAGCACGCAAGCUAUACGUAGCAGACGAUAAUGGUCUUUCACUAUGGGCGAGGUUUUUGAUGGCUCGUAGAUGUCAUUUUAUCGAUGAACAAGCUUAGUUUAGUCAAGCCGUUUGUUAGAAUCUUGUUUUACUCAGUUUUUGAUAUCCUUUUUCAAUUAUUUGAUAGACAGACAAAUGCGUUGGCUCGACUAACUAUCGUAGGUUGGUUUUCGACUUUCUCAUGUGAGUGGCGCUAUCUCUUCUUCGAAUUUAUAAACUCAUAUUUCGAAG